rnacentral:snRNA from 1 species
AUACUUACUUGGUAGGGGAGACACCAUGCUAAUGAAGAUGAUUUUCCCAAGGUGAUGCUCAUCCAUUGCACUCCGGGUGUGCUGACUCCUGAGAUUUCCCCAAAUGCGGGAAACGCGACUGCAUAAUUUGUGUUAAUGGGGGACUGCGUUCGCGCUUUCCCCUG